AAAAUGACUCUCGGCAACGGAUAUCUAGGCUCUCGCAUCGAUGAAGAACGCAGCAAAAUGCGAUACUUGGUGUGAAUUGCAGAAUCCCGUGAAUCAUCGAGUCUUUGAACGCAAGUUGCGCCCGAGGCCUUCGGGCCGAGGGCACGUCUGCCUGGGUGUUUACCGA
rnacentral:rRNA from 1 species